CCUACGGGUCGCACCAGUGGGGAAUAUUGCACAAUGGGCGCAAGCCUGAUGCAGCCAUGCCGCGUGUAUGAAGAAGGCCUUCGGGUUGUAAAGUACUUUCAGCGGGGAGGAAGGUGUUGUGGUUAAUAACCGCAGCAAUUGACGUUACCCGCAGAAGAAGCACCGGCUAACUCCGUGCCAGCAGCCGCGGUAAUACGGAGGGUGCAAGCGUUAAUCGGAAUUACUGGGCGUAAAGCGCACGCAGGCGGUCUGUCAAGUCGGAUGUGAAAUCCCCGGGCUCAACCUGGGAACUGCAUUCGAAACUGGCAGGCUAGAGUCUUGUAGAGGGGGGUAGAAUUCCAGGUGUAGCGGUGAAAUGCGUAGAGAUCUGGAGGAAUACCGGUGGCGAAGGCGGCCCCCUGACAAAGACUGACGCUCAGGUGCGAAAGCGUGGGGAGCAAACAGGAUUAGAUACCCGCGUAGUC
rnacentral:rRNA from 1 species